rnacentral:rRNA from 1 species
AUUGAACGCUGGCGACAUGCCUUACACAUGCAAGUCGAACGGCAGCACGGGUGCUUGCACCUGGUGGCGAGUGGCGAACGGGUGAGUAAUACAUCGGAACAUGUCCUGUAGUGGGGGAUAGCCCGGCGAAAGCCGGAUUAAUACCGCAUACGAUCUACGGAUGAAAGCGGGGGACCUUCGGGCCUCGCGCUAUAGGGUUGGCCGAUGGCUGAGUAGCUAGUUGGUGGGGUAAAGGCCUACCAAGGCGACGAUCAGUAGCUGGUCUGAGAGGACGACCAGUCACCGUGGGAGUGAGACACGGACCAAGCUCCUACGGGAGGCAGCAGUGGGGAAUUUUGGACAAUGGGCGAAAGCCUGAUCCAGCAAUGCCGCGUGUGUGAAGAAGGCCUUCGGGUUGUAAAGCACUUUUGUCCGGAAAGAAAUCCUUGGCCCUAAUACGGUCGGGGGAUGACGGUACCGGAAGAAUAAGCACCGGCUAACUACGUG